rnacentral:tRNA from 1 species
GGAUAUGGCUCAGUGGUAGAGUGUUUGCCUAGCAUGCACAAGGUCCUGGAUUCAAUUCCCAGCACCA